rnacentral:rRNA from 1 species
UACGUAGGUGGCAAGCGUUAUCCGGAAUUAUUGGGCGUAAAGCGCGCGCAGGCGGUUUCUUAAGUCUGAUGUGAAAGCCCACGGCUCAACCGUGGAGGGUCAUUGGAAACUGGGGAACUUGAGUGCAGAAGAGAAAAGCGGAAUUCCACGUGUAGCGGUGAAAUGCGUAGAGAUGUGGAGGAACACCAGUGGCGAAGGCGGCUUUUUGGUCUGUAACUGACGCUGAGGCGCGAAAGCGUGGGGAGAAAACAGG